ACCAGUUGUUAACCCAGAGUUGAAGUUUUCUUUCACAUUUUUAAGUAAAAUGAAGGUCAUGACCUUUUUAUUAUAAAUAAAAAUGAAUUUGGUACCUAACAUGUAGUUGUUUUUAGAAAAAAGUAAAAGUCACCACUUGAUUCCAGAUUCAAGUCCUUUGUCGUCUUUUUCAAAUGUGUAAUAAGAACUGAUGUGGCAUUUUGGAAUGGAGUGGAAAUCUGACCAGAAUAUAACAGACUGGACUAGUUGACAUGUUUUGAUCACAGGGACAAGUGGGUUUAUAUUUGUCAUAUUUUCUCCCUGUCACUGAUUUUUAGAAAAGAAACAUGAACAUUUUAUUUAAUUUAGUUUUUGGAAAUGGCUACAAAUACAACAAAAUGUGCUCCAAAUCGUGCCAGAAUGCCCCAUUUUGCAUCUUGAUUUUAAAAAUUCAACCCUUGCCUACACCCCACCACCUCACAGCCAUUUCAACCCAGGGGAAACACUGCUUUCUUAUGGUUGACUUUGUACCUGCAGGUAGAAAAUGCAGACCAGGCAGACGUGCUUGAAAUGACUGACACCAUUCUGGCAUGUGGCUACACAGGGCCACUUACACUCGACAAGAAGCAAGCCAUAACAGAGUAUGUAAACAUGUCCCAAAGGCUUAAGCACUUACAUUUUUCACUUUAAACUUUUUCUUAGUCUGUAUUAGUGCCAUUGUCCUGCAUGGGCGUGUGAGGCUCAUCCCUAUGCUCAACCACAUACCAGAGGGGUUGAGGAUCGAUGGGUUUGACCAAGUCUUGGCGCAGCACAAAGAUAUAUGUGAUCAACUGUUUGUUCCAGGUUUCAUCGAGGAGGUGGAUUCAGAGUUUCUUGUAAGUGCUUUUGCUCCUGACCUCAGUGAAGAAGGGUGAGAUGAAGAUUCUCAACUUUCUGCAAGACUUCCUUCAAAGCUUGGAAGAUGGAGCACGCAUUGCAUUAUGGGUACAAGGACCUUCGCUUGGCGCGGAAGGAGUGACCGCGGCCAUUACCCACUUCGGUCGGACUCAAGGUGAAUGAGAGGAUUUCG